UCUCCGUAGGUGAACCUGCGGAGGGAUCAUUACUGAGUGAGGGCUUCGGUCCGACCUCCAACCCUUUGUGAACCAAACUUGUUGCUUCGGGGGCGACCCUGCCGCUUCGGCGGUGCGGCGCCCGCGGAGGCCAUUAAACACUGCAUCAUUGCGUCGGAGUUAAAGUAAAUUAAACAAAACUGGCAACAACGGAUCUCUUCGUUCCAGCAUCGAUGAAGAACGCAGC
rnacentral:misc_RNA from 1 species